UACGUAGGGUGCGAGCGCUAAGCGGAAUUACUGGGCGUAAAGCGUGCGCAGGCGGUUCUCUGUGUCCUGUGUGAAAGCCCCGGGCUUAACCUGGGAAUGGCAUGGGAAACUGGCGAGCUUGAGUGCGGCAGAGGGGGGUGGAAUUCCGCGUGUAGCAGUGAAAUGCGUAGAGAUGCGGAGGAACACCGAUGGCGAAGGCAGCCCCCUGGGCCGACACUGACGCUCGGGCACGAAAGCGUGGGGAGCAAACAGG
rnacentral:rRNA from 1 species